rnacentral:rRNA from 1 species
AUUGAACGCUGGCGGCAGGCUUAACACAUGCAAGUCGAGCGGUAACAGAGAGAAGCUUGCUUCUCUGCUGACGAGCGGCGGACGGGUGAGUAAUGCCUAGGAAUCUGCCUAGUAGUGUGGGAUAACUUGCCGAAAGGUAAGCUAAUACCGCAUACGUCCUACGGGAGAAAGGAGGGGACCUUCGGGCCUUUCGCUAUUAGAUGAGCCUAGGUCGGAUUAGUUAGUUGGUGAGGUAAUGGCUCACCAAGACCGCGAUCCGGAACUGGUCUGAGAGGAUGAUCAGUCACACUGGAACUGAGACACGGUCCAGACUCCUACGGGAGGCAGCAGUGGGGAAUAUUGGACAAUGGGGGGGAACCCUGAUCCAGCCAUGCCGCGUGUGUGAAGAAGGUCUUAGGAUUGUAAAGCACUUUAAGUUGGGAGGAAGAGCAGUUAACUAAUAUCUGACUGUUUUGACGUUACCGACAGAAUAAGCACCGGCUAACUUCGUG